rnacentral:rRNA from 1 species
GAUGAACGCUGGCGGCGUGCCUAACACAUGCAAGUCGAGCGAGAAGCUCAUGACGGACGCUUCGGUUGAAGUCACGAGUGGAAAGCGGCGGACGGGUGAGUAACGCGUAGGCAACCUGCCCUUUGCAGAGGGAUAGCCUCGGGAAACCGGGAUUAAAACCUCAUAAUACCGCAGUGAGACAUCUCACGGUGGUCAAAGAUUUAUCGGCAAAGGAUGGGCCUGCGUCUGAUUAGUUAGUUGGUGGGGUAACGGCCUACCAAGGCGACGAUCAGUAGCCGACCUGAGAGGGUGAUCGGCCACAUUGGAACUGAGACACGGUCCAAACUCCUACGGGAGGCAGCAGUGGGGAAUAUUGCACAAUGGGGGAAACCCUGAUGCAGCAACGCCGCGUGAAGGAUGAAGGCCUUUGGGUCGUAAACUUCUGUUCUAAGGGAAGAUAGUGACGGUAC